rnacentral:rRNA from 1 species
GUGAGGAAUAUUGCGCAAUGGAGGCAACUCUGACGCAGCCAUGCCGCGUGCAGGAAGAAGGCGCUACGCGUUGUAAACUGCUUUUAACCGGGAAGAAACCCCAGGACGUGUCCUGGGUUGACGGUACCGGAGGAAUAAGCACCGGCUAACUUCGUGCCAGCAGCCGCGGUAAUACGAAGGGUGCAAGCGUUAUCCGGAUUCAUUGGGUUUAAAGGGUGCGUAGGCGGAGCGUUAAGUCAGUGGUGAAAGCCUGCAGCUUAACUGUAGACUUGCCAUUGAUACUGGCGCUCUUGAGUGCGCUUGAAGUGGGCGGAAUGUGCCGUGUAGCGGUGAAAUGCUUAGAUAUGGCACAGAACACCAAUUGCGAAGGCAGCUUGCUGAACCAUUAUUGACGCUGAGGCACGAAAGCGUGGGGAGCGAACAGGAUUAGAUACCCGGGUAGUCC